GAUGAACGCUAGCUACAGGCUUAACACAUGCAAGUCGAGGGGUAACGAGAGGAAAGCUUGCUUUCCUUGUCGACGACCGGCGCACGGGUGAGUAACGCGUAUCCAACCUGCCCCCAACUAGGGAAUAACCCUGCGAAAGUAAGACUAAUACCCUAUAAUUUCCUCAGAUGACAUCUGACGAGGAAUAAAGAUUUAUCGGUUGUGGAUGGGGAUGUGUCUGAUUAGCUUGUUGGCGGGGUAACGGCCCACCAAGGCAACGAGCAGUAGGGGUUCUGAGAGGAAGGUCCCCCACAUUGGAACUGAGACACGGUCCAAACUCCUACGGGAGGCAGCAGUGAGGAAUAUUGGUCAAUGGGCGGAAGCCUGAACCAGCCAAGUAGCGUGCAGGAUGACGGCCCUAUGGGUUGUAAACUGCUUUUAUACAGGAAUAAAGUUAGCCACGUGUGGUUAUUUGUAGGUACUGUAUGAAUAAGGACCGGCUAAUUCCGUGCCAGCCGCCGCCGUAA
rnacentral:rRNA from 1 species